GGAUAACCCUGAUUUCCAUAUGCAGAUUUAUCUGCACUGACAGCCCCCUCUCCCUCUCUUAGUCUUUCUGUUUCCUCUCUCCCUCCCUCUCUCUCCCUCUUUCUCUUCCCCUCUCUUUCUCUUCCUCUCUGUCUUUUUGUCUCUCUUUAUGUCUAUUGCAUUAUGCUUGAAUAAUUUUCAGCUGGUUUUUUUUUUUUUCUUUCCUCUCGCACGCACAUGCUAAAAUAACUAGACAAAGAUGCAAGGUGGUUGCUGCAGUCCCUGUCUCUAGGACAAAACCAAGAAAGCUCGGGAUUGCAAUGCCACCUUUCCUUUUUUUUUUUUUCUUUUUCUUUUUUUUUUUCCCCACCCAUGCUCGGUGAUUAAACUUACCCAGGAUGGGGAAGAAAAAGGAGCUGGAAAUUAAAUAGGGUUAAGGAAAAAGCCCAUUGCAGCAGCUGCAGCCAGUGGUGUCUGCUGCCAGAUGUGCUAAGGUUCCUAGGGUCCUUGACACUAAAAGGCAGUAUUAAAAUAUUUGGAGACAAAAGCUGCAUCUUCAGUGAUCAUUUUCUUUAUUUAACAUGGCAGCAAGCACCAUGUGGGGGAAAAUCAACACGCUGGAUGUUCAAUUGGACUUUUCUCCUUUCUAGGAUGAAAGGAUGUUAUCUAUCCCGUGCCAAGAGGGAACUGAGGUGCAGGGGGAGGGGAAGAAAGUCUUCCAAACUAGCCCGCCAUGGAAGAGAGAGUGGCAUCAACAGCAUGCCCCUGUGUCUGGAAGACAUUGCUCGAUGGAAGAACAGUCUGUUAGACUCCCCAUGGGCAUGAUGGAAGGGAUCCCGGUGAGGAAAGAAAAUAUUUCCAGGAACUGAAGGAAUGGUUAUAGCAUCUCUAAAGAGGACAUUUGCCUGUGACUGAUAAAUAGAAAGGAAGCUUUCUGCCACUGUAGGUUGUGCUGAAGACUGCACCUUUUCCUGCCAGGUAUGGAAUUUGCUACAGUAAUUCAAGGCUUGUUGAUCAUUGUGUUGGAUUACUUCUGGCUCUCCUACUUGGAGUUGUCAGCUGAAAAGCGCAGAAACAUCAGGUGUUAAAGCCUGAUGAAAUUUCUAAGUAGCAUAAAGUAGAGCGCAGCCUGUUAUUUAGAUGUGUCAGCAGCAAAUAGCAUCAAAAUAUCUUCAAGGACGUGGUCAUUCUCUACAGACCUCCUGCUGGGUGAGAACCUUUGGGAUAGAGCCCCUGUGACACCCCCAUGCAUAAUACUUUCAAGUAAGGACUGAAUCCUUUUAGUGGAGAUUCUUUGGACUGAAAAUAUGGGUAGGAUUUGCCAGCAGGUAAUGGGAAUGCCCCUUUUUGCAUACCACUUCCUCCAGGACAGUGACAUCUCUUCCAUCCAUUACAUUCCUCUGCAAUCCACAUACUUUUCAAAAAUAAUUAUGUUUCUACCAGCACUUAUAAUUAGGUUUCAGUAUGGUAUUUGAUGUAUGUUGUAUUAUGAUAUUUUCCCUGUAAAUUCUUAUGUAUGCAUUUAUUUUCAUGAUACUUCAAUAAAAACAUCAAAAUUGAAAUUCA
rnacentral:lncRNA from 1 species